UUCUUGAAAAUUAAAAAUUUUGGCAGUAUUUUAGUCUAUUCAGGGGAAUCUGUCCCGUAAUUGAUAGUCCACGAGUUUUUUGACUUAAUUUUAGUUUACAUAUCGCUGUAGUUUGAAUAUUUUUUAAAAAAAUAAAUGUUCAUAAUCUUUUUAAAAGAGAAAAUCAGGUCAAGAUGUAGCUUAUAAUUAAGGGGAGAUGGAUUACAAUAAACUUAUUUAUUUAUGGAUUAAAAAAUGGAAUUUUUAAUGAAGGUGGAUUUGAAAGUAAUUUUAUUUAAAUAAAUAAAAUGAUUUAAGCUCUAGAAUAUGUACAUAUUGCCCGUCGCUUUCAUUAUAAAGUGAAAUAAGUCGUAACAAAGUAGGUGUACUGGAAAGUGUACCUAGAAAGAACAAAUUAAAGCUCAAAGAAGUUUUUUAGUUACAUUAAAAGGGUUAUUAUAAAUUAAUAUAGUUUGAAUUAGAAUGAUUAUUAAAUUUUGUAGGUUAAUAUUAUUUAAAAGAAAAAAAUUUUGGUUUUAUUAAUAUUUUAGAAAAAAUAUAUUUUAUUAUAGUUGAUUUGUAUUGUGAGAGAUAUUUAUUUUAUAUUAGUUAAAGGAUUUUUUAUUUAGAGUACCUUGUGUAUCAGGGUUUAUUAAUUGAAUUUAAAGAUAUUAUUUUCUCGAAUUGAUAAGAGUUAUUAUUAUAAUUUUAUUUUGUUAAAAAAUAAUUAUUAAUAUAAUAAUAGAAGUGAAAUAUUAUUCGGUUAUUGAUAUAUCUAGUUUUUUAAGAAAAAAAUUUAAUUUUUUUGUUGGUUUAAUAUUUUAUUAAUUAGUUAAAAAGUAUUUACUAAUAUUUAGUAUAUUAAGGGAUAAGCUUUAAUAUAAAGUAUUUUAAGAUGUAUUAGAUUGUAGAUUAAGUAGGAUUGAAAGUUUUUAUCUUUAAAAUUGUGUUGUAACUUUUUUUUAAAAAAAUAAAAUUUUUAUUAUUUUAAAAUUAUUUAUUAAAAGUUAGAUUUAAAUUUUAUAAAUUUAGUCAAAAUGAUAAAAUUAGUAUAAAAUUUUGUUAAUAGGUUUUUACCUUAAAUGUUAAAUUAAGGAAUUCGGCAAAAUAUUUUUCACCUGUUUAUUAAAAACAUGGCUUUUUGAUUAUAAUUUAAAGUCUGGCCUGCCCAAUGAAUGAUUUAAAUGGCCGCGGUAUUUUGACCGUGCAAAGGUAGCAUAAUCAUUAGUUUUUUAAUUGAAAGCUGGAAUGAAGGGUUAGAUGAAAAGAUAACUGUCUCGGUUUAAAUUUUUUAAAAUUUUAUUUUUAAGUAAAAAAGCUUAAAUGUAAUUAGAAGACGAGAAGACCCUAUAGAGUUUAAUUAAUUUUUUUUUGUAAAAAUUUUAGUAUUUAU
rnacentral:rRNA from 1 species